GGCAGUUCUCAAGUGACACACCCUGGAAUCGGGCUCCCUCCUCUCUGGUUUCAAGUGCGUCACACCCAAGAACCAUA
rfam:Myotis lucifugus cont2.39841, whole genome shotgun sequence.